CUUUUCCAGACCCAAGGCUAUCUACUCCACUCCUGGUGGCUGUCACCCUGGGCCCAAAGCUACUGCUGCUCAUCACUAUCUCUGCCAUCUAUGCCCACAAGAAGCAAGGGCCUGACUAGGGGGAGCCUAACUGCCUACUCCUGGAGUGCAGUCACUUGUGGUAACUACCCUCCAAAGAAGACAGAAUGGAAAGGA